rnacentral:rRNA from 1 species
AGGACGAACGCUGGCGGCGUGCUUAACACAUGCAAGUCGAGCGGAAAGGCCCUUCGGGGUACUCGAGCGGCGAACGGGUGAGUAACACGUGAGCAAUCUGCCCUUAGCUUCGGGAUAGCCCCGGGAAACCGGGAUUAAUACCGGAUAUGACCUAGGCCGACAUCGGCUGUGGUGGAAAGUUUUUCGGCUGGGGAUGGACUCGCGGCCUAUCAGCUUGUUGGUGGGGUAAUGGCCUACCAAGGCGACGACGGGUAGCCGGCCUGAGAGGGCGACCGGCCACACUGGGACUGAGACACGGCCCAGACUCCUACGGGAGGCAGCAGUGGGAAUCUUGCGCAAUGGGCGAAAGCCUGACGCAGCGACGCCGCGUGGGGGAUGAAGGCCUUCGGGUUGUAAACCCCUUUCAGCAGGGACGAAGCGAAAGUGACGGUACCUGCAGAAGAAGCGCCGGCUAACUACGUGCCAGCAGCCGC